rnacentral:siRNA from 1 species
AUAUAAGACGAUGGUAUCC